AGAGGGUGCGCCGGGCCCUGCG
rnacentral:miRNA from 1 species